GAUCUGAAGUCUGACAACCCCCACAGCCAGUCGUCACCAUCCACACACUUUUCAACACCCUCUCGCACAUAACACCUGGGGCCUCUGCUUCCAUCCCACCAUUUCAUGAGCCUGUCCAACUCAGGGUCCUUUUUCAGCAUCACAAGGGCAGCCAGUAUCUGCAAGAGGAGAACUGUAAUCCAAGCCAGUGUGAAGUCUUCAAGAAGCAAGGCCAAGAAGGGGACUGAGCACCAAGCUGCCCUCGCUCACCGGGAAAUUAAGCCAUCAGGCCGCCAGGUGAGAGGGACACAGCAGACCCUGACCGGAGGCCCGGGAUGCAGAGGAAGUCACGACAGAUCCGCCUGCUCAGGGAAGAAGAGUUUUCAGACCGCUGCCGCACCGUGACCUCAUCCUCCUGUGGGCUUUGGGGGCAAGUGCUCUCCCAGUCACUGAUAUGGCACUGGGUCAUUUAUGAUGGCCUUAUGACACUGUUUUUCACUAUUGUGUUUACACUCUUGUUAAACAACUUUGUGUAAUCGUCUCUUCUCACUCCAAAUAAACCUUAGCCCCUGGAAGGC
rnacentral:lncRNA from 1 species